rnacentral:lncRNA from 1 species
GAAGCCUAUUGCUUGCUGGGUGCAAUGUGACAAUCAAGUUGAAAAGGAAGCAAGAAUUAAGAAGACAGCAGAAUUAGUUUGAAUUUACAUAAUAUUCCGACAUCUUCUAGUUAAAAGCAAAAAACAAGGAAAAUUGUUUUAUUUCAUUUCGCUCCCAGCCAUCGCAACAUAUUCCGGUCGAAUUCAAAAUUGCAACUUUCAGAUUUUCAACGAUAUAGAGAAAUCGAAAUUCCCUUUUAAGUGCAAAGAAAAAGACAAAAAAGUUAAAAAAAAAAACGAGAGCAAGAGGACGGCAAAAAUUACAAAUGUUGAAAAGAAAACUUUUGUAGAAAGAGAAGUGCGUAAGUGAAGUGCAAAAUAAUCGAGAAAUAACUAGACGAGGAAUAAUAGAACAGCCACAAUAAAAUCAAAAACUUAAUUUUAGAAAAGGAGAAUUGUGAAAGAAAAAACCAAAUCGCCCAAAACAUAUUUCGAUUCUCCAAUAGCGAAAAAGAAAGCAGAAGCUAAAACACAGAAACAAAAUCUUAAGCCAGCGAAGCUGCUGGUGAUCACUGAAGAAACAAAAAAAAAAAAACAACCAAACAACCAACGCGGCAGAGAUUUGCUACCAAAGGUAGAAAAGAAGUGAAGGAGAACCAGCUUAACGAAGAAGCAACAGUGGUCGUGGUGGAAAUGCUGGAGCAGAGCACUCCCACAGCAGCGGACCACUUUAGACAGCAUUACCAAAUAUUUUGCUAAAUUUUGUUACCCACGACUAGACCAACCUAAAAAAAAUAGCAAAAAACCUCACGGUUUUGCUACGAUCCCAAAUUAGAUUACAUGCAAAGGCAGUGCAUUUAAUUAAUACGAAAAUUGUUUUUUUGUUUUUGGUAUCGGCGUUUGGAAGUAGCAUGAGCGUAGCGUGCAAACAACUGCACUGAGUCAAACAGAAUUUAAUUGGAACUGCAUCAGAAUUAGUCAAACAUUUGUUGCCACCAGCGCCAUUACAGUCUCAUCUGCCACACUGUUAUCAUUGGUCAACGAAAAAGUUGGUGUACAUCGCUUCCCGCAAACACCGCCAUCGGCAACUGUAUCAGUAUCAGCAUCGUUGCUCUUAAACAAAUCAUCAACAACAACAACCGUCGCACGCACCUGGCGGACAUAUCCGCAAACGUUUACCAAGGCAUUACGCACUACAACUCGACGCUCUGUGGCACCGCCAUCCAAACGUGCCGCCACCGCUGCUGCUGCGAAAGCUGCAGCUAACAAUACUGCAGCCACCAUGGCUUGGACAGAGGUCUUUCGACUUAAGCGGCUAUUGCUUAUGACCACAGAUACGUAUCCAAGGAACGAUCCCGAUUUAUAUCUGGCCAAGGACUGUCACUUCAACAUCACUACCCAAAACUCCGAGGAAUUGGUAUGCUGUUGCAACAACAACAAAGGUUACAGUUCCCCAUAGACACCCAAGUAACUCUAACGCUAUUACAGCCUAAGUACUGUAACAUAUUGAACUGUUACUUUUACCGACACAAGCCCGAGCCCUCGAGCUUGUAAAAUAGCUCCGCACGAAACUAAUAUCUUCAUCACACAUUAGGUCUGUUCGUCAAGCAACAAAUUUGUACGAAUUAUCAUGAUUUUUAUUCAAAUCGCGUUCGUGCAGUGCAAAAAAUUAUCCAUCACUCAAAAAU